CAGUCGCCGCGGGAAUACGUAGGGUGCAAGCGUUAAUCGGAAUUACUGGGCGUAAAGCGUGCGCAGGCGGUUUGUUAAGACAGAUGUGAAAUCCCCGGGCUCAACCUGGGAACUGCAUUUGUGACUGGCAAGCUAGAGUCUGGCAGAGGGGGGUGGAAUUCCGCGUGUAGCAGUGAAAUGCGUAGAUAUGCGGAGGAACACCGAUGGCGAAGGCAGCCCCCUGGGCCAACACUGACGCUCAUGCACGAGAGCGUGGGGAGCAAACAGGAUUAGAUACCCCAGUAGUCCCUGUCUCUUAUAC
rnacentral:rRNA from 1 species